GUCCAAGCCGUAAACGAUGAGCACUAGGGAGAGGAGACCCCGAUGUCUUCUCUCCUGGAGCAAAUGUAUUAAGUGCUCCGCCUGGGGAGUACAGUCGCAAGGCCGAAACUCAAAGGAAUUGACGGGGGCUCACACAAGCGGUGGAGCAUGUGGUUCAAUUCGAAGCAACGCGCAAAACCUUACCUGGGCUUGACAUGCACGGAUUAGCCCCUGGAAACAGGGGUGACACUCGAAAGGGUGGAACGUGCACAGGUGCUGCAUGGCUGUCGU
rnacentral:rRNA from 1 species